rnacentral:tRNA from 1 species
GGUUGUAGCUCAGUGGAAGAGUGCUUACCUAGCAUGUGUGAGGCACUGGGUUCAAUUCUCAGCACCA